AUCUUUCUGGAGAUCCCUGCCUAGUAGAGGCCUUCUAAAGAAUUUACAAGCCAUUACCCAUCACAUCUAGAACAUUACUGGAGCUGUCGAGAUAAAGGAAUCAGCGUAGAAACAUUGUUCCACUGGGAAAUGUAAAAUGGCAUAAAGUUGGUCCCUCAACAGCCAAGCUGUCAGAUCCUUUGAGGAGCGGAAACAGGGAACCCACACAGCAUAUGGUGGUAGUUGGCUGUUCCCAGGGAAAGCUGUCUGGCUCUCUUAAAAUACAGACAGCCAAAGCAUUUGAGAAGUACUAAGAGGUGCUCCAGCGCUCUGAUCGUCUUUGUGACCCUCCUCUGGAUCCAUUCCAAUAGCUUCAACAGCUUCCAUAGAAGGGGUGCGAACAGUGGACUGUUGAUUAUCUACUCGGUCACUGGCUGUCUCCUUGGCUCUACCAUGGACCUUCCUGACUGUCUCUAUCACCCAGAAUUUGGAACAGUUCCAGGACGGUAUUCUCCAAGGACAAUGGCUUAGAGGCUGUGUAAGCAAGCCUCCUCGCUCCUUCCUCCUUUCCUCAUAAACAGUCUUCCAAAAAACCCAGAGCUGGGUCCUAUAUAGCGUGCAUGGGGUUAAUCUUCUCUAGAAGGAGUGAAGCCUAAGCAGAGUCCACAUAGCCCAGUCUGUGUGAUAUGGACUAAAGACCAAGGUUUGGUGCCUGGCUUGUUUAUUGUACAUGCUAAAUAGUACAUUUAUAGUACAUAUGUUAGUUCACGGCACUGUGGUACGUGCUAAAGCUAAAUCUUAGUCCUCAGUUUGAAUCUUAAUUUCAUUACUGUUCAUGAACAAUCUUGAGUAGUGUUUCAUGUAGCCACUAAGCCUAUGGGCUUUUUAGGAUCAUUGUAAGGAGGUGAGAUCUUGUAUCACAUUUAUCUAUACUGUAAAAUGUACUUGAACAGGACUGCUUCAGGUAAUCUCUUUCAGAAACGAAAGUUGUGCUGA
ensembl:lncRNA